rnacentral:siRNA from 1 species
AUACACGACUCCAAGGCGGGCUGC